GAUUUAUUUAUUUUUUGAUCUUACAAAGUCAUGACAGAGGGACUCGGUGUCUUUAUUCAUGCUUGAAAGAUGAACAUAUAUUAUUUUUUUUGAAAGGGAAUAAGCUGAUGAAGCCAGCAAGUGAACAAUGUUUACUGUUUAAAAACAUUUUUAAUUAAAUGCAAACCCAAGUGAAUCAUUUGCUCUUGUUUCUCUGUUUUGAGAGUCACACAGACUUAGCAGUCUUGUUUAAAUGUUACAAAUUGCUUUAAUAAACUGAACUUGGAAAUUGUUUUAAGUGGUUGCAGAUGUUAUCUCCGCUAAUUUUAUUAAUCUUAAUAAAUAAAUAUUAGCAGGUUCUCAAUAGUAGGCUAUUUCAAUUCAGGGAGGGCGCGAAAAAAUAUCUGUCUCCUAGGGGGGGAAUGAAAGAAAAAUAAUUGAGAACCACUGGUCUAGAACAUGUUGUACUUGUAGAUUAGCUCACGUUGUUAUGGCAAUGAAAACGCCCACAGCUGAUAAAAUAAUGCCAGCGGUUUUGUUUUAACUGAAUAUUAGAAACCUUUUUUUUUUGUAUCAGAACAACAUUAUUUUGCAUCAGAAGUUUUAUAAAAAUCUAUGUCUCCCUGAAAGUGAGACAACGUAGUGUAUUGCUCCCGAAAUAGUGGUAUGUUUCUCAUAGUAUUAAUCUUGUCCAUGUUGUACCAAUGUGUUUCAGUAACUGUGUAAAUAAAAAAAGGGGGAAAUAUGGUCAUUUUUGAGUGAAAUUUAAUAUACCUAUUUAAUUUAAUAUACCUCAAAUUUGUUGUUACAGUUCACAUCCAUUGAUUUUUCCUUCAUCCAAACCGUCUUUUUUCCUUUCAUCACUUUAGUGGUUCAGAACUGCAUUAUUUAGCUGACAUUGCCAGCUUAUGGCUUACACAUAUAACAGCAUAGUAACUAAUAAAAUAAAGGUGGUGGAAUAAAGAACUCUUGGACAGGACUUUAUAUACUUCAUGUACCCCUGAGGCUUCCUGGGCUUGAGCCCCCCCAGAAGAAGAACCUAGAGCCGCCCUUGGUUACAGCAGAACCUCUGGUCUGGAACGAGACCCGGACCAGGCGAGGCCCCCGGAAACCAGGCAUCCAGGACCAGGACCCGGAUUGGGACCAGGUCCAGGACCCGGACCGGGACCAGGGCCAGAACCGGGACCAGGACCCGGACCAAGACCCGGACCGGGACCAGGAACAGGACCCGGACACGGACCAGGACCCGGACCAGAACCCGGACCAGGACCUGAAUGCGUAGGACCCAGACCGGGACCAGGACCAGAACCAGGACCAAGACCAGGACCCAGAC
ensembl:lncRNA